UUGGAGGGCAAGUCUGGUGCCAGCAGCCGCGGUAAUUCCAGCUCCAAUAGCGUUUAUUAAAGUUGUUGCAGUUAAAAAGCUCGUAGUUGAAUUUCGGGGUUCUACCGUUGGUCGGGCAAUAGUCUGUACUGGCGUGUAGAAUUUCUACCUUCUGGGGAACUAUCAUGUUAUUUAUUUAGCGUGGUAGGAAACCAGGACCUUUACCUUGAAAAAAUUAGAGUGUUCAAAGCAGGCUUACGUCUGAAUACAUUAGCAUGGAAUAAUAAAAUAGGACGGUGGUCCUGUUUUGUUGGUUUCUGAAUCACCGUAAUGAUUAAUAGGGAUAGUUGGGGGCAUUAGUAUUCAAUUGUCAGAGGUGAAAUUCUUGGAUUUAUUGAAGACUAACUUCUGCGAAAGCAUUUGCCAAGGAUGUUUUCAUUAAUCAAGAACGAAAGUUAGGGGAUCGAAGACGAUCAGAUACCGUCGUAGUCUUAACCAUAAACUAUGCCGACUAGGGAUCGGACGAUGUUAAUUUUUCUUGACUCGUUCGGCACCUUACGGGAAAC
rnacentral:rRNA from 1 species